rnacentral:rRNA from 2 species
GAACGCUGGCGGCAGGCUUAACACAUGCAAGUCGAGCGCACUCUUCGGAGUGAGCGGCAGACGGGUGAGUAACGCGUGGGAAUCUACCCAUCUCUACGGAAUAACUCAGGGAAACUUGUGCUAAUACCGUAUACGCCCUCAAGUUUUGGUGAUUUGAGGGGAAAGAUUUAUCGGAGAUGGAUGAGCCCGCGUUGGAUUAGCUAGUUGGUGGGGUAAAGGCCUACCAAGGCGACGAUCCAUAGCUGGUCUGAGAGGAUGAUCAGCCACACUGGGACUGAGACACGGCCCAGACUCCUACGGGAGGCAGCAGUGGGGAAUAUUGGACAAUGGGCGCAAGCCUGAUCCAGCCAUGCCGCGUGAGUGAAGAAGGCCCUAGGGUUGUAAAGCUCUUUCACCGGUGAAGA